UGUCGCAUGUGGUGAAGAAGACGCCAUAACCAUUUGUGUACGUACCUAUGGAAUCCGAUCAAAAUCUCUGUAACGGAUGCAGUUUCUGCUUAACUCCUCCAUCAAUUGACUCAUUAAACUGCAUUCAACUUCCUUCCCCUCCGCUCAUUAUUUGAGCCUCAUCAUCGUCAAAGGUAACGGCUACAACCUCGAGCUAUAAAUGAGUAUUUUCGAUGCACUGUAUACCUCCACCGCUCAGAUAUCUGCAAGAUUCAACUUUGUCAAGCAUCACCUCGAAUUAUGUCGACUUCAUAUGUUCUUUUCGCCGAUUUGAAAGCUGCAGAUGCUUAAACACCACUGAUAUCCAUCUGCUGAGAAGAAAGCCGGUGAGCUGAUAGGCGUUGAACUCAUCGAUUUGAAGAUACGUUGGUUAUUAAUUUCUUUGCUUUCAUUUAUCAACUUUUCAAUUUGAUGUUAUCUUAUUUCACUUCCCCUUAUCAGUCUUCGCUAAUCCAGACAUCAAUAUGUGUUCACCGGCUUAACACUUCCCGACAUCAUCUCAGUGAAGGUUUUGUGUACUAGCUCAGUGGUUUCGAUGUCAUACAGACUCCCCUGUCUCCAUUCGAUUCAAUGAUGGUACUUCGUUUGCAGCAAAAACUGAAUCGAACUGCAAAGAAGGGAGUUUUGUUCAGCAUUGGAGUGAUUUGUUAUUUACUACAUCUGGUCUUUACUGGUAGAGUAGAGAUUCACAAUAUCGUCAAUCUAAGGAACGAUGUAGAGAGGCUUCUUGAAUGUUAGAACGAUGUAUUGAGACGAAAACAUCAAGAGGUUAUUAAGAUAUGCUGCAAUAUAGAGAAAUUAUUAGAAUUUCAGGUUGAAGCAGAACUUCAAACUGAGUUUGAACUUCUUCAGAUUGGAAAAAAACAGGAGGGUAACUAUUCCAAGCUCAAGGUUUCAGAGAAGAGUGAGUAUUUAGAAGGAACUAGGGUCAGACAUAUGUGCUCAGAACCAUUGGAGGAACAACAAGGAGUAUGUCCUUAUGAGCUGGAGACAAGGCUACACAGGCUCAUGGAGACGAGACAAAAAAAAAGGAGAUAAAAGAGCUGCAGACGGCAUUGGAAAACCCUAAGAAAGGCUUCAUGUGAGAGAGGCUGAAACUUCUUGGUGGAAAGACACUGAAUAUAUAGUCUCUGAACAUAAUACCUAAACAGUCUGGAAUCAAUUUCAAUUAUCAAAACUUGACGUUCCCCCCUCUCUAGCUAAGUAAAAAAAUCCAGUGUUUCAAGUUUAACUAGAAAACAAAAGUGUAUGUAAUCUUGUGAAGAAGCUGAAUGUUAAUUAAUCGAUUUGCC